rnacentral:rRNA from 1 species
AUUGAACGCUGGCGGCAUGCCUAACACAUGCAAGUCGAACGCGUCGCGCACGUGUGAGAAAUGUCUGGGAACUUGCCUUAUGCAGGGGGCUAACUCCUGGAAAGGGUAGCUAAUACCGCAUACCAUCAGAUUUUCCCAGAUGGGAUUAGCUUGUUGGUGGGGUAACGGCUCACCACGUCGACGAUCCCUAGCUGGUCUGAGAGGAUGACCAGCCACACUGGAACUGAGACACGGCCCAGACUCCUACGGGAGGCAGCAGUGGGGAAUAUUGCACAAUGGGCGCAAGCCUGAUGCAGCCAUGCCGCGUGUAUGAAGAAGGUCUUCGGGUUGUAAAGUACUUUCAGCAGGGAGGCGGUACCCGCAGAAGAAGCAACGGCUAACGCCGUGCCAGCAGCCGCGGUAAUAC